GACGAACCGAGCGAACGUUGUUCGGAAUCACUGGGCUUAAAGGGCGCGUAGGCGGGUGCUCAAGUCCGGGGUGAAAUCCUCCAGCUCAACUGGAGAACUGCCUCGGAUACUGGGUGCCUCGAGGGUGAUAGGGGUAUGCGGAACUAUCGGUGGAGCGGUGAAAUGCGUUGAUAUCGAUAGGAACUCCGGUGGCGAAGGCGGCAUACUGGAUCACAUCUGACGCUGAGGCGCGAAAGCCAGGGGAGCAAACAGG
rnacentral:rRNA from 1 species